UGGGGAAUAUUGGACAAUGGGCGAAAGCCCGAUCCAGCCAUGCCGCGUGUGUGAAGAAGGCCUUUUGGUUGUAAAGCACUUUAAGUGGGGAGGAAAAGCUUAUGGUUAAUACCCAUAAGCCCUGACGUUACCCACAGAAUAAGCACCGGCUAACUCUGUGCCAGCAGCCGCGGUAAUACAGAGGGUGCAAGCGUUAAUCGGAAUUACUGGGCGUAAAGCGCGCGUAGGUGGUUAUUUAAGUCAGAUGUGAAAGCCCCGGGCUUAACCUGGGAACUGCAUCUGAUACUGGAUAACUAGAGUAGGUGAGAGGGGAGUAGAAUUCCAGGUGUAGCGGUGAAAUGCGUAGAGAUCUGGAGGAAUACCGAUGGCGAAGGCAGCUCCCUGGCAUCAUACUGACACUGAGGUGCGAAAGCGUGGGUAGCAAACAGGAUUAGAUACCCUGGUAGUCCACGCCGUAAACGAUGUCUACCAGUCGUUGGGUCUUUUAAAGACUUAGUGACGCAGUUAACGCAAUAAGUAGACCGCCUGGGGAGUACGGCCGCAAGGUUA
rnacentral:rRNA from 1 species